rnacentral:lncRNA from 1 species
AACGGUAUCUGUUAAAGGCUCUUAAUAAAGUUGGAGCUAAUGCUUUUUUCUUCUAAUUUCCCUGGAGCAAGUAAGGUCUCACUGUUUCAAUGACACAAUCUUAAAAUAAUGUUGAAGCUGAUGUUGACAUUUCUUCAGCUUCUUCAAAGAGCUGACAAGGCACUCAUUUUCUUUACCUUACCUACUUACUUUGUUUAAAACCUUGCACAAGGUCAAGUCCUUAGGACACCUGAGUGUAGGGAAUGAGAGAUCCAAAAAGGCUUCACCGCAAAGCCCAUCAUUUAGUAGGAAACUAGGCCCAAUUUAAAAGGUGGUUAGAGCCGGGGUGGUGGCUCACACCUGUAAUCCCAACACUUUGGGAGGCUGAGGCAGGCAGAUCACCUGAGGUCAGGAUUUCGAGACCAGCCUAGUGGACAUGGUGAAACUCUGUCUGUACUGAAAAUACAAAAUUAGCUGGGCAUGGUGGCAUGAGCCUGUAAUCCCAGCUCCCAGCUACUCAGGAGGCUGAGGCAGGAGAAUCACUUAAACCCAGGAGGCGG